UUCUAGCCAGCAACCGCUUUGCUAAGGAAGCUGGGAAUCUCUCAGCAUGGCCAAGCCCUCGAUUCUCUUCCUGUUUCUCACUUACUUCUUUGGCUGUGAUGCCCAAUUUACAAUGACUCAGCCACCUUCUGUGUUGGCUUCCAUUGGGGGGACUGUGACGAUCUCCUGCAGAAGAAGCAGCGGAAGCAUAAGCAGCUACCGGAAUUCCUGGUACCAACAGAAACCUGGCAGUUCUCCUGUACCGCUCAUAGAGAAGCAUAACACCAGAGCUCCGGGAAUCUCUGACCGAUUCUCAGGUUCCCUCGACAGCUCUGCCAAUGCUGCUAUCUUAACCAUCUCCAACAUUCAAGCAACUGACGAGGGUGAUUAUUACUGUUUAUCUUAUGGCAAUGAUGCUGUAACAUAA